AACGAACGCUGGCGGCAGGCUUAACACAUGCAAGUCGAGCGCCCCGCAAGGGGAGCGGCAGACGGGUGAGUAACGCGUGGGAAUCUACCCAUCUCUACGGAAUAACGCAUGGAAACGUGUGCUAAUACCGUAUACGUCCUUCGGGAGAAAGAUUUAUCGGAGAUGGAUGAGCCCGCGUUGGAUUAGCUAGUUGGUGGGGUAAAGGCCUACCAAGGCGACGAUCCAUAGCUGGUCUGAGAGGAUGAUCAGCCACACUGGGACUGAGACACGGCCCAGACUCCUACGGGAGGCAGCAGUGGGGAAUAUUGGACAAUGGGCGCAAGCCUGAUCCAGCCAUGCCGCGUGAGUGAUGAAGGCCCUAGGGUUGUAAAGCUCUUUCACCGGAAGAUAAUGACGGUAACCGGAGAAGAAGCCCCGGCUAACUUCGUGCCAGCCGCCGCAGUAACAC
rnacentral:rRNA from 1 species